CCCUUAGAUGUUCUGGGCCGCACGCGCGCUACACUGACGAUGGCAACGAGUUUUUCCUUCGCCGAAAGGUGUGGGUAAUCUUUUGAAACAUCGUCGUGCUGGGGAUAGAUCAUUGCAAUUUUUGAUCUUGAACGAGUAAUUCCUAGUAAGCGCGAGUCAUCAGCUCGCGUUGAUUACGUCCCUGCCCUUUGUACACACCGCCCGUCGCUACUACCGAUUGAAUGGUUUAGUGAGGACUCCUGAUUGGCGCCGCCGCCCCGGCAACGGAGCAGCGGACUGCCGAAAAGUUGUUCAAACUUGAUCAUUUAGAGGAAGUAAAAGUCGUAACA
rnacentral:rRNA from 1 species